rnacentral:rRNA from 1 species
CCUACGGGAGGCUGCAGUGGGGAAUAUUGGGCAAUGGAGGCAACUCUGACCCAGCAACGCCGCGUGAAUGAUGAAGGUCUUCGGAUUGUAAAGUUCUUUUCUAAGGGAAGAAGAAAGUGACGGUACCUUAGGAAUAAGCCUCGGCUAACUACGGGCCAGCAGCCGCGGUAAUAGGUAGGAGGCAAGCGUUAUCCGGAAUGACUGGGCGUAAAGGGCGCGUAGGUGGUUUGACAAGUUAGUAGCGAAACUCCGGGGCUCAACUUCGGAACUGCUACUAAAACUGUUGGACUUGAGUGCAGGAGAGGCAAUCGGAAUUCCUAGUGUAGCGGUGGAAUGCGUAGAUAUUAGGAGGAACACCAGUGGCGAAGGCGGAUUGCUAGACUGUAACUGACACUGAGGCACGAAAGCGUGGGGAGCAAACAGGAUUAGAUACCCCGGUAGUC